AGUGCAGCCGGUUUGAAAUGCAAGAUGGCGGCGGCGGGGCUCUGAGAGGCGCGGCGGCUCCUGCAGGUGAUGGCAGAUAGGUACUUUGGACCUGUUGGUAAUGAUGGCCUGAGCUAAACACCUCCUAUUGAAGGGACACCCUUCCGUGUCAAAGAACAGAAUGGGGAGGAGACUGUGGCAGGUGAUUGGAGUUGUGCUUCAAAAAUUUCAGCAGUUCUGCAGUAUUUUAUUUGCCAACCAUAAGCUCUUUACUUGAUUGCACCAUGAAAAAGCUGCUAAUGAGACUCGCUGAGCACAAAGACAGACUUGAAGAACCAAAAGCCAUUGUUUUCAAAUGAAGGAUACUGAACAGUUUUAAACCCCAAUGCUUUUUAAUCACCA